CCUACGGGUGGCUGCAGUGGGGAAUUUUGGACAAUGGACGAAAGUCUGAUCCAGCGACGCCGCGUGAAGGACGAAGGUUUUCGGAUCGUAAACUUCUUUUGCAGGGGACGAAAGCGGGCAACCGUUUGACGGUACUCUGCGAAUAAGCCACGGCUAACUACGUGCCAGCAGCCGCGGUAAUACGUAGGUGGCGAGCGUUACUCGGAAUUACUAGGCGUAAAGCGCGUAUAGGCGGGAUGUUAAGUCUGCUUAAAUCUCACAGCUCAACUGUGAAAUGCCGGCGGAUACUGGCCUUCUUGAAUUCGGUAGAGGUAACUGGAAUUCCAGGUGUAGCGGUGAAAUGCGUAGAUAUCUGGAAGAACGCCAAAGGCGAAAGCAGGUUACUGGGCCGCAAUUGACGCUGAGACGCGAAAGCUAGGGGAGCAAACAGGAUUAGAUACCCUAGUAGUC
rnacentral:rRNA from 1 species